GACGAACGCUGGCGGCGUGCCUAAUACAUGCAAGUAGAACGCUGAAGGAGGAGCUUGCUUCUCUGGAUGAGUUGCGAACGGGUGAGUAACGCGUAGGUAACCUGCCUGGUAGCGGGGGAUAACUAUUGGAAACGAUAGCUAAUACCGCAUAAUAGUGGAUGUCGCAUGACAUUUGCUUAAAAGGUGCAAUUGCAUCACUACCAGAUGGACCUGCGUUGUAUUAGCUAGUUGGUGAGGUAACGGCUCACCAAGGCAACGAUACAUAGCCGACCUGAGAGGGUGAUCGGCCACACUGGGACUGAGACACGGCCCAGACUCCUACGGGAGGCAGCAGGAGGGAAUCUUCGGCAAUGGACGGAAGUCUGACCGAGCAACGCCGCGGGAGUGAAGAAGGUUUUCGGAUCGUAAAGCUCGGUUGUAAGAGAAGAACGAGUGUGAGAGUGGAAAGUUCACACUGUGACGGUAUCUUACCAGAAAGGGACGGCUAACUACGUG
rnacentral:rRNA from 1 species